GGAUGAAAGGGCAAUCUGGCUGCCAUAUUUGUCAUUCCAUUUAUUGUCAGGGUUGAUUGUGUGAUCUGGCUGGCUAGGUGGGUGUCUCCUUCCCCCUCACCAUCAUGUGUGCCCCUAGCAAAGCUGUGUACUCAGUUGAAGAGGACAAUUAUACCUGAUGGAGGAGGACUAUUCUUCAGCCAAGGGUAUAUGUGUAGCAAAUCAAACAGAAAAUUAUAAACAAAAAGUUCCU
rnacentral:sRNA from 1 species